UACGGAGGGUGCAAGCGUUAAUCGGAAUUACUGGGCGUAAAGGGCGCGUAAGUGGCUCGAUAAGUCAGAUGUGAAAUCCCCGGGCUUAACCUGGGAAUUGCAUUUGAUACUGUCGGACUAGAGUGUGAUAGAGGUAAGCGGAAUUCCCGGUGUAGCGGUGAAAUGCGUAGAUAUCGGGAAGAACAUCAGUGGCGAAGGCGGCUUACUGGAUCAACACUGACACUGAGGCGCGAAAGCGUGGGUAGCAAACAGG
rnacentral:misc_RNA from 1 species